rnacentral:ncRNA from 1 species
GAGAGCCCGGUGCUCGGAAACGGGCACGCCGGGUUCGGACGGGCGGCCAAGGGAAACGGGCGGCGGAAAUGCCGAAACCGCGCCCUUGGUCGACCCGUAC